GGGCGUAAAGCGAGCGUAGGUGGCUUGAUAAGUCAGAUGUGAAAUCCCCGGGCUUAACCUGGGAACUGCAUCUGAUACUGUUAGGCUAGAAUAGGUGAGAGGAAGGUAGAAUUCCAGGUGUAGCGGUGAAAUGCGUAGAGAUCUGGAGGAAUACCGAUGGCGAAGGCAGCCUUCUGGCAUCAUAUUGACACUGAGGUUCGAAAGCGUGGGUAGCAAACAGGAUUAGAUACCCUGGUAGUCCACGCCGUAAACGAUGUCUACUAGUCGUUGGGUCCCUUGAGGACUUAGUGACGCAGCUAACGCAAUAAGUAGACCGCCUGGGGAGUACGGCCGCAAGGUUAAAACUCAAAUGAAUUGACGGGGGCCCGCACAAGCGGUGGAGCAUGUGGUUUAAUUCGAUGCAACGCGAAGAACCUUACCAAUCCUUGAAAUCUAGCGAAGUACGCAGAGAUGUGAAUGUGCCUUCGGGAACGCUAUGACAGGUGUUGCAUGGCU
rnacentral:rRNA from 1 species